ensembl:lncRNA
GACAGCUCUCCGUUCAAGAAGACGCGGUUCCUCCGGUACCGUAUCCAAAACAGCCGAGACCCGGUCCCAUGUCCAACAAAAAGUCAAACCCGAGCUCCCCUCUUAUGGGAAUUCCCACCUGCGGUCUGUCACGGUAAACUCCCGCUACUUGGAGCGCGUCACAUCCAGAGGAACAUGUCCUUCUCUCAGUGUGCUGACGGCAGGAGCGUCACAGGUUAUUAAACCUGAUGCCAGCGGUACCUUGCCACAAGGGGGGAGAUUGAGAAAGCAAAAGAAUGGGGGACCAAAGCACAGAGAAACAGGAUAUAAUGGAGAAAGGUAACCUGUCUGGAAGAAUCAGGGUGGCCAAACCGCCAUCAGUUCCAGAAACAUAAUCACAGCUGCCUCUUACUGUUCAGGCAAGUUCAAUUUAACAUCAUCGUUAAAUCUGCAGUGAUACACACACAUUAUGAAUCUAAACAGUGUAAGAUGAGGAGAGGUAAAAUUUAGAUCACAAAUGUAAACAUAAUCAGUGAGGAAAAAAAAAUGCAUAUGAUUGGUGUUUGUUUUGAGCUGUUACAAAUCAUGCCGAAAUAUACGAUGCAAUUCCCCAACCUCCAAUUCUCC